rnacentral:misc_RNA from 1 species
GGAAGGAUCAUUAACACGUAUCCACGUAUCAACAUCGCGAACCCGUAGCCGCAAGGUUACAGCGGAUAAUCGUGUCUUAGCGCCAAGUCUCUGGUUCAGGUGGCAUCAGACUUUCGCGCGUGGUGUUCUCCUUCAGGAAGCAUCAGAGGCACUUUUAUGCGUCACCCAUUUUUAACCACAAACCAAUUUUUUUCUGUGAUCAUUGUACUGAUAUACCAGGUUGUGUCGCGCCCUGCUGGCAACGGCUUGGCGUGUCACCGCUCGGACAAUACGUAAUUUUGAACAACUCUUAACAACGGAUAUCUUGGCUCUCGUAACGAUGAAGAACGCAGCGAAAUGCGAUACGUAAUGCGAAUUGCAGAAUUCAGUGAAUCAUCAAAUCUUUGAACGCAAAUUGCGCUCUUGGGAUAGCCCUGGGAGCACGCUUCUUUGAGUAUCGUUUUCACCAUUACUCGACCGCGUGUCGGUCGGACAUUGAGAGUCUCAGUCCAGCACUGAGUCUCUUUAAAUGAAUAGAGUUGGGUCAGCACCAGUUCGACUUCAGUAGAUGUGCUUCGGCGCAUUUUGCUGGGACCUUCCAGUCUUCGAUGGCUUGAAGCGGACUUGUGACGUGGAUAAUUUCACCUCGUGUGAUCUUUCUUACGUCCGAGUUUUAGCUCCUUGUUUGUCAUGGCUGGCCGGGUUUGAGGAUUGACGCGACGUUCCUAACGCAAGGGAAAACAUAAGGGGAAAAGUCACACCGGCUUGUCCGGGGUUUCUUUGAACCUUUCGAAUUAGAUCUCAAAUGAAGUGAGAAAACCCGCUGGACUUAAGCAUAUUAUUAAGCGGAGGAAAAGACACUAACAAGGAUUCCCCUAGUAACGGCGAGUGAAGCGGGAAUAGCUCAACCUGAAAAUCGGUGUUCCAAGCGGGGCAUUCGAAUUGUGGGCUAGGGAGGCCGUUUCCGGCGCGACCCGGGUAUAAGUCUUUUGAAACGAGGUAUCAUAGAGGGUGAGAAUCCCGUCUGUGACCCGGAGUUCGCAGCUGUUUCGAGCGGCAUUCUAAGAGUCGAGUUCUUUUGGAAUGGAGCUCUAAAUGGGAGGUAAAUUUCUUCCAAAGCUAAAUAUUGACGAGAGACCGAUAGCGAACAAGUACCGUGAGGGAAAGAUGAAAAGAACUUUGAAAAGAGAGUUAAACAGUACUUGAAAUUGUUAAGAGGGAAGCACUGGAGACCAGUCGUGCCCAAUGUCCAUAUUUUCUAUCCGCCGGGAGAAGUGGUGGUUCACGGGUGGUUAAACCUCGUGGGUUGUUACUAACUCGGCGGGUGGGUCCUGUGGCGUCGGGUGGGUCAGAAUCAGUUCGUUUCGCCGGAGAAGGCCCGUCGGAAGGUAGGAACGCCUGGUUUCGGCCAGGUGUUCUGUUUAGACGGCGGGAGAUACGGUGGGAUGGACUGAGGAACGACAAUGCGCGCCGUAAGGCUGGGCUCCGUUCUCCUGUGGUGCUCACGCUGGGGGACAACAAAGUUGUGCCUUGGCGGGCGGGUGUUAUACCGGGAGCGGAUGACUAAAUGCGCUAUUCGCGAUUCUGACGAAAUGGUCUUCAAUGACCCGUCUUGAAACACGGACCAAGGAGUCUAACAUAUAUGCAAGUAUUUGGGUGGCAAACCCUUUUGCGCAAUGAAAGUAAAGGCUUCGGCUGAGGUAGGAACUCGGACCCUCGGGUCUGGGGGCACUAUCGACCGAUCUUCACUUGUGAUAGAUUUGAGUAAGAGCAUAUCUGUUGGGACCCGAAAGAUGGUGAUCUAUGCCUGAACAGGGCGAAGCCAGGGGAAACUCUGGUGGAGGCUCGUAGCGAUACUGACGUGCAAAUCGUUCGUCUGAUUUGGGUAUAGGGGCGAAAGACUAAUCGAACCAUCUAGUAGCUGGUUCCCUC